rnacentral:rRNA from 1 species
UACGUAGGGGGCAAGCGUUGUCCGGAUUUAUUGGGCGUAAAGAGCGUGUAGGCGGCCAGGGUAGGUCAGCUGUGAAAACUCGAGGCUCAACCUCGAGACGUCGGUUGAAACCACCUGGCUAGAGUCCGGAAGAGGAGAGUGGAAUUCCUGGUGUAGCGGUGAAAUGCGCAGAUAUCAGGAAGAACACCCGUGGCUAAGGCGGCUCUCUAGUACGUGACUGACGCUGAGACGCGAAAGCGUGGGGAGCGAACAGG